CAGCAGCCGCGGUAAUACGUAGGUGGCAAGCGUUGUCCGGAAUUAUUGGGCGUAAAGGGCUCGCAGGCGGUUUCUUAAGUCUGAUGUGAAAGCCCCCGGCUCAACCGGGGAGGGUCAUUGGAAACUGGGAAACUUGAGUGUAGAAGAGGAGAGUGGAAUUCCACGUGUAGCGGUGAAAUGCGUAGAGAUGUGGAGGAACACCAGUGGCGAAGGCGACUCUCUGGUCUGUAACUGACGCUGAGGAGCGAAAGCGUGGGGAGCGAACAGGAUUAGAUACCCCAGUAGUCCCUGUCUCUUAUAC
rnacentral:rRNA from 1 species